UCAGUAAUUAGUUAAUUACUAGUAGUAGUUUCCAAACUUUCUACUACUCAUUCACAAAGAAAAACAAAAACCCUAAAGGCCUAGACACUUACUCCAUCUAGCCGCUACUGUACGCACUCAACCCUCCUUCAAAAUUUUCUCAAAUCUCUUUUCUAUUAUUGAAGAAGGAAGUAGAGAUCAAGAUCGACAAUUUUGACAAAGAACAAGCUUUUAAUAUAUGGCAGAAUAACUUUGGAGAAGAAGAACCAAAAGAAAUCAUUCUUCCAAUUUCCUAAUACUGAGGAUAUUGGAGAAGAUUGCAGGAAGAAUUUGCAACAAAGACAAAGUGAAGAAAAGAAUGAUUCCCUGUAUUCAUUUUCUUUGGUUACUUUGUUUGAUGUUCUAAUUGUUUGUCGUGUAAGAACUUGAAUUUGUAAUACGUAGUACAAUUUUUCUGUUAGAUUUUAUUUGGUAGUUUUUAAAAAAUUAUAAAUGCAAAAAAUAAGUAGUUUUUAUUAGAUGAAAAUAUUAGAUAGUUAAGUUACAAUUAAAAAAACAGAAAAAUUAAA